rnacentral:piRNA from 1 species
UUGCCCUUGUGCCUAGUUAAGAGAUUUCAAA